rnacentral:rRNA from 1 species
CAGCAGCCGCGGUAAUACGUAGGUGGCAAGCGUUGUCCGGAAUUAUUGGGCGUAAAGGGCUCGCAGGCGGUUUCUUAAGUCUGAUGUGAAAGCCCCCGGCUCAACCGGGGAGGGUCAUUGGAAACUGGGAAACUUGAGUGCAGAAGAGGAGAGUGGAAUUCCACGUGUAGCGGUGGAAUGCGUAGAGAUGUGGAGGAACACCAGUGGCGAAGGCGACUCUCUGGUCUGUAACUGACGCUGAGGAGCGAAAGCGUGGGGAGCGAACAGGAUUAGAUACCCCCGUAGUCCCUGUCUCUUAUAC